rnacentral:rRNA from 1 species
UGGGGAAUAUUGCACAAUGGGCGCAAGCCUGAUGCAGCAACGCCGCGUGAGGGACGACGGCCUUCGGGUUGUAAACCUCUUUUAGUAGGGAAGAAGCGAAAGUGACGGUACCUGCAGAAAAAGCACCGGCUAACUACGUGCCAGCAGCCGCGGUAAUACGUAGGGUGCAAGCGUUGUCCGGAAUUAUUGGGCGUAAAGAGCUCGUAGGCGGUUUGUCGCGUCUGCUGUGAAAACCCGAGGCUCAACCUCGGGCCUGCAGUGGGUACGGGCAGACUAGAGUGCGGUAGGGGAGAAUGGAAUUCCUGGUGUAGCGGGUGGAAUGCGCAGAUAUGCAGGAGGAACACCGAUGGCGAAGGCAGUUCUCUGGGCCGUAACUGACGCUGAGGAGCGAAAGCGUGGGGAGCGAACAGGAUUAGAUACCCCGCAGGUAGC